rnacentral:pre_miRNA from 1 species
UAUAAUUUUUGACUCUUGGUCUUAUUCAAUUUUUUUGCGAUUAAUAUUUUGUUUUUAUUAGAUGAUAAAUCAGGAAUAGUACUUUACGUGCAACUAAUUUUUUUUUAAUUUCCUGAAAAUUUUUUAAAUAAGACGGAUGAUCAAACGUUGGACAUGAAAACU